ensembl:lncRNA
GUGGGCUAUAGAUGGUCUAUUGGUGGGCUAUAGAUGGUCUAUUGGUGGGCUAUAGAUGGUCUAUUGGUGGGCUAUAGAUGGUCUAUUGGUGGGCUAUUGGUGGGCUAUAGAUGGACUAUUGAUGGGCUAUAGAUGGUCUAUUGGUGGGCUAUAGAUGGUAUAUUGGUGGGCUAUAGAUGGACUAUUGGUGGGCUAUAGAUGGGCUAUAGAUGGACUAUUGGUGGGCUAUAGAUGGUCUAUUGGUGGGCUAUAGAUGGGCUAUUGGUGGGCUAUAGAUGGGCUAUUGGUGGGCUAUAGAUGGGCUAUUGAUGGGCUAUAGAUGGUCUAUUGGUGGGCUAUAGAUGGACUAUUGGUGGGCUAUAGAAGG